UACUUUAAGUCUUCGAGGCUUUGUAAGAGCUUCUACUGGUUUACUG
rnacentral:tRNA from 1 species